UACGUAGGGUGCGAGCGUUGUCCGGAAUUACUGGGCGUAAAGAGCUCGUAGGUGGUUUGUCGCGUUGUUCGUGAAAACUCACAACUCAAUUGUGGGCGUGCGGGCGAUACGGGCAGACUGGAGUACUGCAGGGGAGACUGGAAUUCCUGGUGUAGCGGUGAAAUGCGUAGAUAUCGAGAGGAACACCUGCGGCGAAGGCGGGUAGCUGGGCCGACACUGACGCUGAGGCGCGAAAGCCAGGGGAGCGAACGGG
rnacentral:rRNA from 1 species